UCCCCAUUCACGCAUAACACUACACUACUCUAACCCCUACGCCAGAUUCCGCCAAAAUGCCGGUCAAGCGCAGCCGCGCCGGGAGAUCCUCGGCCUACCUCGACUCCGCCGACGCCGCUCCGGGGAAGCUCACCAAAUCAGACGCCUCCGCCGACGCGGAGCGCCCGAAGCUGCUCCACGUUGCUUCUCCGGUGAAUACCGCCGAAUGUGCCGCUGAUCGGACCAAAAUUGGCGGUUUCCUGGAGCGGUGCCACUAUUGCAACAAGCGAAUUGCUCAGAAUUCUGAUGUUUUUAUGUACAGGUUCUGCUUGUGUUCCAUAUUGUAGUAUGAAGCGUGAGACGAGGGCGUCCACCUCGAUGAUCUCUGUUCGUCUCUUAUUAUGAUCACCGUUUUGCUGUCAUAAGCUCAUGCUCAACUGCAGACUGCACAAGGUAAGAGUUUCUAUGCAUUUCACAGAGCUCAUUGCUUCUUGUUUUCUUAUGCGGUUAUAAAUCUUCCCUUUAGAUAUCUGCCCCCUAUUUUCCACCAUUUUUACUUCAGCUUCUUUGUCCUAUCCUCCCACCAAAACCCCACAAACAAUGUGAUAAACAAUCACCUUUUCAAGAUCCAUAUAGAUUCUUUAAUCUGCAGUUUCAUGACCAUGGUACGAUGAGUUUCGUAUAGUUAAGUCGAUGAUUAGGAAAUCGAAGACGAUAACCUUAAUAGUAUACCACCAACUAGAAGUAAUGCCUUUAGUAGUUGGACUUGCAUUGAAAUUCAAUGACCACUAACUUCAUACAUACCCUAUAUUAGAUGAAGUCAUCUUAUGCCUAUUCUUGCUUCACAAUGAUGCAUAUUAAUCUAAAAAGUUUAUAGAAUUUGUUUCCUUCACAGAGAUUUUACUAAAAGAAGUAAAUGCAACCCAAAUAAAUAUUGUAGCCUGCUUCACGCCAACUCCCAUAUUCUGUAAAUUAUGAUGCAUUAUUAGAGACUAGUUGAAUGUUAAGUGUAUUUACUGAUCUCUGCUAUGCUGAGUUGUACCUGCACUGAGAGUACAACUGAAGCAUCAUCACUCAUCACUGUCUAAAUUCAUCACUUGUGCUCAAAACUGACAAGCUUGUUUUAACAAGCAAAGUCUAGUUUUUCCCAACAAAAUACCCUAUUAUUAGCUCCUAACUCCUUGUGUGACAUCAUUUUACAAUUUUUGAAGUAGCCCUAUUUCCACAAAACUACUAGUUUGUGUGAUUCAUUCUUCAUCUUUUGCUAUUUUGGUCUAAAUUUGAUCAUUUUAAAAAUACAAUGACGAAGUCUAAAGUGAUUGAGCUGCGGUAUAUACGUUGUGUCAUCAUCAAAUUAAUGUGGCAUAAAGCUAUGGACCAUUGAAUCUUUCUGAUGUGAGAGAGUAGUUUCUGUUUCACCCAUUUAACACGUAACUCUAUUUCAUCACCAUGAGAUCUUGAUUUUGAUAGUCCAUUACCAUUAAUGAAAAUAAUUGAGUUUUUGUUUUGAUUUGUCAUAUCUCAGUCAACGUCCGUGCAUCUUAUAAAUUCGUACUACUACCUACCAUUUAAAGUUUGGUAUUUGUAAUUAAUUUCUUAAUCUUAUGAUGUGUGAUUAAUAAGAAGAUACUGAUGGGAUGGGAUGGGAUUUUGCAAAAUGUUGGGAUAAAAUGUCUAAACUGAGUAAGUAUUAUCAGUCAAAAUCUAAUAUUAUUCUAGAUAAUAUUUUUAAUUUAUUAUGUCAUUUUCUGCAAAUCUAGGGAAUUGUUGUGUACGUCAUUUUCUAGUCUAUUUAGGAAUUCCCGAUGUAAGUUUUGUUUUGUCUUAUACUUUUAACUUUUUUUAGCAAGUCACGGUACUUCAGAUAGAUUCCACAUUGAAAAUAAUGUAAAAACUAAAUUUGUUGAAGAUAAUAAAAUACUGAAAAUUGAAUUAGUAGGAAUACUAUUAACAGGGACUAAGCAGUCUUUAAUGUUGGGCAAAGUUUUGGGAUGAAAUUAUAGAUGAAUAUAUUAAUUCCUCAAGGGAUGUUCAUUUGCACGAAGGUAAUGUUAUAUAGAGUUGAUUGAUUUUAUGUGAUAUAUGUGGUUUGAAUAGUAAAAAAAUAAUAUUCCUACAUUUCUUUAUUUUCAUCAAAAUUUAUGAGCAGUUGUAGCAAGUGAUCCAGACAUGAUAACAUAAAAUAAUAGGAUAAGUGGAGGGACCAUAAACACAUUAAUAUGUUGGUUAAUUACGCAUCAUGCCACACAUGGGGAGGUAUGUACAUCCACUCACUAUUCAUUUAAUUAUUCUCUUUAUAUACUCUACUUUUUUAUUUAUAUUUGAAAUCUCAUUAAAGAUAUCGAGAUGUAGAUUUUCCUAAAUCUGUUUAUGGCUGGUUUACACUUUUUAACUAGUUAACUUUUUAUAGUUUUUUAAUUCCAAAGACAACCUCUUGGUAUUCUGUCUCAUUUGUAGUAACAUAGUGACCGGUUAGUAUUAAAUUAUUCAUUGAUUUUUCUAUUUUCCUAUGUUUUAUGAAGGAAAUGAUGAUUUUGUUAAAAAAAAAUCAAAUGGGAUAUAACUGCAAAUGGAAGGCAAGGAACAGAUCGCCCCAUCCCCUUAGAUUUUGUCUCCCCUUCUUUUAUAUCUUUCACUUAAAUUAUAUUAAAAAAAAAUUUGCUACCUUAACACCGGCUACUCUCCUAUUGUUGGUCAAGCUAGGAAUAUAGUAGUAUUAUAUUUA